GGCUCAGUGGUGUACGGUGCACAUCUGCAGCUCGUAGAUUGUAUUUGUCUAAGCUCACGCAGGAGGGACCUCGUUCAAUUCGAGGCUGAGCCU